rnacentral:rRNA from 1 species
AUUGAACGCUGGCGGCAGGCCUAACACAUGCAAGUCGAGCGGAUGAAGGGAGCUUGCUCCUGGAUUCCGCGGCGGACGGGUGAGUAAUGCCUAUGAAUCUCCCUCGUAGUGGGGUAUAACGUCCUCAAACGGGCGCUACUACCGCAUACGUCCUGCUCGUGCAAGUUGGUGAUCUUCGGACAUCUCGCUCUCAGAUGAACCUAGGUCGGAUUAGCUAGCUGGUUGGGUAAAGGGCUACCAAGGCGACGAUCCGUAACUGGCCUGAGAGGAUGAUCAGUCGCACGGGAAGGGGAACGCGGUCAAGAGGACUAAGGGAGGCAGCAGUGGGGAAUAGUGGACAGUGGGGGAGAGCAUGAUACAGCCAGGGCGAGUGUGAGAAGAAGGUGUUCGGAUUGGAAAGAAGGUUAAGUGGGGAGGAAGGGCAGUAAGUUGAGACGUAGCUGGAGUGACGGUAACAACAGAAGAAGCACCGGCUAACUACGUG